rnacentral:lncRNA from 1 species
AAUGCAUCCCUGGAUCAUAGCAGACUCUGCCUAUAGAGGCCUGGGGUCCCUUUGGCAGCACUUUUCUCAAGAAAGUAGAGUCGUGGACAACCAACUGCACAGGUUGGGAGGCUUUGAAGAACAAGCUGCCAUGAAUCCUGCAGCUACAAGGAAAUGAACUCUAUUAACUUGAGUGAGCUUAAAACUAGAUCCUUCCCCAGUCAAGCCUCCAGGUGAGAAUUCAAUCCUGGCUGGCACCUGGAUUGCAGCUUACAGAAGACCCAGCUAAGGCCAUGUCUGGACUUUAAAUCCACAGGAACUGCAAGAUGGUAUCAGAAGUGGGACCUGCAGUGGGGCAUCUAGCAACCCCCAGGAGCAUUGAGUGACCAGGCUUGGGACCCACCGGGCGCAGGGUGUCCAUUGUUCUCUCGAAGCAACUGAGAAUUGUGGAUAUUCUUCAUUAUUCCAUCAUCAUCUCAAACCUCUUGGGUAUAGUGUUUGACUACUACUGUGACCAUAAAUUCCAAUAAAACCUAGGAAAAAUGAAACCACUACAUUAACUGAAAGGAGAGGGGACUCUUGCUGUGUUGCCCAGGCCAAUCUUGAAGUCCUGGCCUCAAGUGACCCUCCUACCUCAGCCUCCCAAAGCAAUGGGAUUACUGGUACAAGCCACCUCACCUAGCUAUAAUUAUAUUUUGAUUCAAAUUACCACUAUGUUUAACUCUGUUGAUUUUUAAUAUUGAAGAAAAUGAAAAUUACUGUUGUAGAAAUUCAUGUUACGAGCAUGUAUU